AUUGAACGCUGGCGGCAGGCCUAACACAUGCAAGUCGAACGAGUGGCGCACGGGUGAGUAAUGUCUGGGAAAUUGCCCGAUGGAGGGGGGUCACUACUGAAAACGGUAGCUAAUACCGCCUACCAACGGAUGUGCCCAGAUGGGAUUAGCUAGUAGGUGGGGUAACGGCUCACCGAGGCGACGACCCCUAGCUGGUCUGAGAGGAUGAACAGCCACAAUGGAACUGAGACACGGGCCAGAUGCCUACGUGAGGCAGCAGUGAGGAAUAUGGCACAAGGGGCGCAAGCCUGAUGCAGGCAGGCCGCGUGUAUGAAGAAGGCCUGCGGGGUGUAAAGUACUUUCAGUGAGGAGGCGGUACCCGAAGAAGAAGCACCGGCUAACUCCGUGCCAGCCGCCGCGGUAAUAC
rnacentral:rRNA from 1 species